rnacentral:lncRNA from 1 species
UCGAGUAUGUGAAGCUCACAGGAAGCUUUGAACAUUCAUUUAAAGAUUUGAGGUGGCUCCAUUGGAAGUUUUGUCCUUUGAAGUGUUUACCUUCUGACUUUUACCUGCAAAGACUUGUUAUGCUUGAAUUGCCUCAUAGCAAACUGACUACAAUAUGGAAGAUAAACAGAGUAAGUACUGUAUGUAAAUUUCUUGCGUAUAUGAUUACUUGUAUUGGAAAAUCUGGUUUAAUUUCUUCCGAUUGCAGUCUUUUUUGCAGAUUCCACAUGUAUUUGAAAACCUGAAGACUUUAAACAUGUCCCAUUCUCUAGAUCUAAUUACUACUUCAGACCUCACUAGACUACCGUAUCUUGAAACUUUGAAUCUCGAGGGGUGUGAAAGUUUGAAGGAGCUCCACAUCUCAAUUGGAAGCUUGGUGAGGCUGGUUUCUCUGAAUUUGCAGUUUUGUGUCAAACUAAAAAGUCUUCCGGACAGCAUUUGUAACUUGACAGCACUGAAAUGUCUUAACAUUGCGCGCUGUAGUAGUUUGAAAGCACUUCCUACGAACUUGGGGAACAUUGGAUCUUUGGAAGAGCUUAAUGCAAAGUGGCUAACUAUAAACAAAUUACCACAUUCGAUCGGUCUUCUAGGUAAUCUUAUUGAGCUGAAGUUGUGUUUUUGCGGAAACCUUGAAACUCUUCCUGACACUAUUUGCAAUCUGAGGACACUGAAAAUUCUAUAUAUUGAUGGUUCCUGUCGGCUAAAAGCAUUGCCUGAAGAAUUGGGUAACCUUGAAUCGCUGGUAGAACUCAAAGCGGAGAAUCUAAUUGUUUCAAAAUUACCAGAUUCAAUCGGGCGUCUUAGUAAGCUUAUUGAGCUGAACCUGUCUUGUUGCAGCAAACUUGAAUCUCUUCCAGAAACUGUCUGCAAUCUUAGAUCACUGAAAAUUCUGGAUAUUGGCUGGUGUAGUAGUGUGAAAGCUUUACCAACAGAAUUGGGGAACCUUGAAUCUNGGUAGUAGUGUGAAAGCUUUACCAACAGAAUUGGGGAACCUUGAAUCUCUAAUAGAGCUCAAGGCUAUGAGACUAACUGUACCAAAAUUACCGGAUUCGAUUGGACGUCUUAGUAAGCUUGUUAAGCUGAACUUGUCUGUUUCCGAAAAGCUUAAAACUCUUCCAGAUAGUAUUUGCAAUCUAAGAUCACUGAAAAUUCUGGAUAUUGAUGAUUGCCAUAUGCUAGAAGCAUUGCCUACAGAAUUGGGGAACCUUGAAUCGCUGGUAGGGUUCAAGGCGGAGAGAAUAAAGGUCUUAAAGUUACCUGAUUCGAUUGGGCACAUUAGAUCACUGGAAAAUAUCUGGCUUAAAGGCUGUUUCAACUUGUUGUCUAUUGCAGAACUUCCUUCUAAUUUAAAAUUACUAAGCCUUGAAGGUUGCAACUCCAUGGAAACAUUACCAAAUCUAUCGAAUAUGAAGCAAUUGGAGGAAUUAAACCUUACAGGUUGUAGUGUCUUGACAGAGAUUCAAGGCUUAGAAGAUCUUUCUUCUAUUAAAACACUCCAUCUGGGAGGUUGUGACUCAUCUAUGCUAGCAGACACUUUCACAAAGCAUUUCUUUCAGGUUUGUUUAAUCUCAAACUCUUCACUGAAAUUUAUCAGGUAUUCUUCAUUAUAUACAUUAAAAUGAAUUAUCAACAUUGAAAAUGAAUUAUCCUUUUAUGAUUAACUUUCUCUGGGGUUAUAUCUUGCAACAGAUAUACUCUGGAUUUGGGCAUCACAUUAAAAUUUAUGCUUCGACAUCAGUGUUUCCAGACUGGAUUUGUCAAUCAUCAGACUGGAUUGGUAAAACCAUUUCAUUUGGGUCAAAAGUAUCUUUAGAUUUGCCGCCAAACAUGUCACACAAUUUCUUGGCACUGAUCCUCUGCUCGAGAUUCUCGAGGGAUGGCGAGGCCUAUUAUUCUGUUAAGACUACCACAAAUGAUUUUGUAUGGAGACAGGGGGUUCCUUCAUUAAGAUACUUUUAUGACCAUUAUGAUGAUUAUAACCGUGUCCCAUGUAUGGACGUAGUACCAAGAAAAGUUUUUUCUGUCACAGACAGUGACUAUAGAAUUAUAUUCAAAGCACGUCAAAAGUAUUAUGAAUCAUGUGGUGACAAUGUGACUCUAUUAACCCAAGCAGCAGAAAUUCUUGGGUUGUAUCUCCUAUACAAACCAGAGAUCACAGUAUUUAAUGAGUGCAACAGAACCACCAUCGAUGUAGAUGAAGAAGGAAGACAUUCUUCCAAACGCUUGAAACAUUUGUAAAAUGAGAAGAACUAGAUCUCCCUCAAGUCGUGAACAAUUGGAUUAUUCCGGAAGACAAAGAUUGUCCAGCUAUCUCUAGAAAAAGAAGAACAUAAAUCUGGUUUGUCUGAUAGAACUAAAUCAUCUGUUUCACUCCUACAUAAACCUGCAAUCCACCUCAAGAUACCUUCAGGGGUAGUUUGGAGAGCGUACUUCUGAUUUGCGCACUCCAUGGAGAAUGUGAUAUUAUUUGGAGGAUCGGGUUCAGAUGAUAGAUGAGUGUUUGUGUUAUUGGUGUAGGUGAAGGAAAUUCAACCUCCAAGUAAGUCAAUAGUAUAUGUUUAUUUUUCGUCUCCACUUUAAAUGCUCUUAACAUAUUUGAUGAUUUGAGAUAAGAGUUUGUUCUUCGCUGCAUAUUCAAUUUAUAAGAAUUAGUUUGUAUCGUAUAUUUUGCCUACUUGAUCACUCGUAUGCACAAAUCAAUCUUAUUCUUGAUCAUGAUAUAGGUCUGAUACUUGGAGUCCAUUGUUAUGGUCCAUCACAGUAUUUUGGUCACCACAGAGAGCAGCUUGUUAGGUAUAAAAUUUUGCAGAUAUUAUUAGGGGAAAUUAAAGUAGUUCUUACUGAAUUUGAAAUGAAAGGGUAUACAAUUCAGACAAUGAAAACUUGAAAACGCCGACCUGAUCUUCUAAAUUGUUAAAAUGCUUGUGGUGUCUGAUUUUGAUUUGAUAGAUGUAUGAGGAAAACCCUGUUACUGUUGUCUGUUAUAGUGUCUAUUAUUAUAAGAUCUUACUGGCCUUUUGUCAUUCCCUGUCUACUAGCUUAAUUGCUGUGGGUGCACGCUUAGGGUUUGAAGAUUUGCCUACUCAUAAUGUGACUACUUUGAAGAAAUUUCAUGAUUUAAAAUUUCAACAGAAUCUUUGUUACUACUACGAAUGACUGACCAGAGUUUAGUUACUAGGGCCGUAAAGGAGUCCAGGCUCAAGCUCGAACCAUAUUUUAAGCUCAUAAGCUCUGUUCGAAAAGUUUGGUAUAUUUGAACUUGCUCGGAACAAUUCCAUUAGAUAAGUUCUAUGUGACAAGCUUGGCUCGAGUUCAACUCAAUUAUAUAUGGAAAUUCUUUUACUGAAUAUUUAUAUCACACAUAUAUAUAUAUAAUAUGAAAUAAUAGAACAUAUAAUUGUUUGAUUAGUUACGCGAGUCUCGCGAGUUAAGUAGUUAGUAACUCGAGCUCAGCCUGAUAAAGUGUUCAAAUACAUAGAAGAUUUGUUCAUAAACAAGCUCUAGGACGUUGACAUUUUCAGAACCUCUAACUGAUAUAUUUCAUUUGCAAUUCAGACAGAUCCCUACAGUUUGUUGUUGUUUGGUUACUGGAAUAGCUUACCUGAUACACUAGUAGCUUGGAUAAGAAUAAGUUUGUCAGUAGAGUGAGCUGCUCCAGUGGAAUGAACUAUUCAGAGAAGGCGGAUCAACAAAGAAGACUUCUCUCAGCUACUUCAUGUAGAGAAGGUAUCCGAGAUGUAUAGAGUUUCAUAGUUCUUUUUUCUUUCCCCUUUCUGGCUAUAUAACCCACAGCUGAUGAGGCAAGGUACGUUCGACAAAUACAUUGUACCAUAUCUGUCUUGUAUAAGUUUAAAUUACAGGACAAGCAUGUACAUACGAUAUGAAUAUUUACGUCCUUAAUUAUAAGCUUAGAAACUUUAUUAUGGCUGUGUUUGAACAUUUCGUCACUAGUUUGCC